UUUUUUUUUUUUUUUUUUUUUAGAAUAACACAAGCACUUGUCUUCCCUUUGUAAUUGAGCUGUGACUUUCUGAAGGUCACAGACCAUGAGUAUUUCCUCUCUGCCUUCCCCUUCACAGGUGACACUCAAUUACAUACUUGUUACAUUAAAGUGCUUUGCCUAGAGGUGUUUGAGUAGCUCAGUUGGUUAAGUAUCCCACUCUUGGGUUUUGGCUCAGGUGAUGAUCUCAGGGUUGUGAGAUGGAGCCCAGCCUGCAUUGGGCUCUGCACUCAACUGGUAGUCUGCUGGAGAUUUUCUCUCCCUCUGCCCUGCCCUCACUCUCAUGUAUGUGCCCUCUCUCUCUAUCUCUCUCUCACUCUCAAAAAAUAAAAUCAAUAAAUAAGUUGCUUUGCCUAUUCUUUGCAUUACCUGUUCUUAGAUGAAAGCAUGCUAAUUACACUGUGUUUUUUCAGGCUUAGAGAACAGAACCCUAAAGCACUUCCUGUUUGUUGAUGUCUUCAGCUCAUGUGUGCUGUGUGAGCCCACAGCCGGAGGAGGCAGCUGUGAGUUAUCUCAUGGGUUAUGAUUUCACUCUUCAUACAUUAGAAUAGUUAGAGCACGUCUCACAUGAGGUGUGCCUCAAAGACAGCACCUGUGUUGAUCCGUGUCCAUGCUCCUCUAUGCCAAGCCCAUAGUAGGUGCUCAUUAAAUGUUGGCUAUUUGACUGAAAUAAUCUGAUAUGAACAUGCCAAAUAGCACCAGAGGGCCUGCUCUAAUGACAUCCAUCACUGACAGCUGGAUGUAGCCAGAGCCUGACUAGGCUGAUUUGUGAGAGAAAAUCUCAAAAAAUAGGAGGUGACAGAUCGUCACUAACUUUGGUAACUUUGCCCUCUUAGAUACAUUUUAUGGAUGUCAGGUUACAUUGAACUCUUCUGGGUAUAUAAAUAGCUUAUAUUCCAUUCUCAAGGCACAGGUCUUAGUUUAGAGACUCCUUCCUGAGUUUUGAUGAUCUGGCAGUUAUGAUCAAAUCUCUGGCCCCUUGUUAGCACCAACAUUGGUUAGCUGAGAUUUUAAACACUUGAUUAGGAACUACCUCAACCAUAUCAUGACUGCUUAUGAGGUGCUUCAAUAUCUUGGAGAGUAGAUGGAGCCAUUUCUUGGCCUUGGGCCACUCUACUAUUGGACUCUACAACUGCAGAGAGGCCAAGGUAGUGUAUUCAACCUCCAGAGAUUUAAAAAUCAAUUCUGUACUUGGGAAAGAGCUGUCACAAAGCACAUGCACUUAAUUCCACAAGUGAGACUAGGGCCAUCCCCAAGCCUCUAACUGUCUGUAAACCAGCUCUAAACCUUGGAUGCAUGGAGGAAUCAUCUGGGAGUCUGGCACCUACUCUGAUCAAUUAGAUCAGAUCUCUGAGCAUGGGAUGCAGUAUGGGUGUGGAAUGGAUUCCCAGGCGCCUGUACUGUGCAGCUAGGUAGAGUGGAAACCCAGUACUGUAAAGAAAGGACACAAAUUCAACCAAUUUCCUAGACAAGAGCAGAUGAGAAAAAGCAGGUUAGAAGAGGGAAAGAGGAUGGCAUGAAAGAGGGGUACCCAGUAUAUCAAGAAGUAGCAGUGAGAAGAAGAGAGAGAAGAGAGCAAAAUGGUGGAAAAUAUGAAAGAAAUUUAGAAUGCCUCUACGCUCCAUGUCAUGCAGGACACACCUCAGUAGUACACUUGCCAUACUGAAUUGAGUUCAUUUUCUUUAUAUUAACUUUAGAUUAGGAACUCCUUGAGGGAAGGAACCAGAUCUGAUUUGUCUGUAUGCCUCUGAUGCUGGCAUCGUGUUGGGACAGAGGAAGAGGUAAUGAAUGUUGGCGAGUAAGUGAAACAACAAAGACUCCCCUCAUGGAUGCCCCGGGAAGACGUUUCUAAAGAGUCUAUGUCAGCGCUCUGCUGACUGGACACAACUUGCAAACAGCAGGGGUUUUUAUGACUGAGUCUUCAUUCAAAGACAUUUAUUUGGCACUCACCAUGUGUGCCAGACGCCAUGCAGAAUGCUUUUAGGAAAACAGAGUUGAAGAUGCACAGCAUACAGAUGGCUGCCAAGAGUGCUGAGGCUCACACAGAAAAGCACGGGACAUGUUUCAGAACGCAUGAGACUAGCUAAAGCUCUGGUGCAAGGCAUGGGCCGAAAUACAGCAGAAGCAAAAUGCCUUUUCACAUACUCCCUUUAAGAAGCCAGACAAGGUGUGACACCCAUUAGAAACAUUUCCUUCCCAGACGAUUAUACUUUUUCAAAAUCUGCUCACAGGGCUGAUACUGUUUUCUGGGAAACCCAUUCAUGGUAAAUUCAUUCCAGUAAUUGUGGAUGAGCAAGGCAUUGUUACAGCCACACUUCCCACCCAAACUCCUUCCUCCCUGCACUGGCGUCAAUACCCUCUGUGCCCUUGCUCCUCCAAAAUCAGCAAAGUGGGACUCAGAGAAGACAGCUUUCCUUCUCCUGAUAAGCAGGACUUACAAUCCCCAGGUCACUCACAACUCGCAGCUGGGCUCCUAAAGGAGGAAGGUUUUGCCCCCAAGAACUGUCCUUUCUGAUCUCUUCAACAACAGGCUUCUAUGAGAAAUCAGAAUUUGCUAAAGCCCUCGUGUCCUAGACUAAGGGCCCCAGAUUUCAGUCAUGGCUGUAAGCUGGUCCCUGCUUUAGACGUUCCCCACAACCACAGGAAAACAUCUGAGGAACAGAGGGAUCUAGGCCAGGAGUAAUUGGAAUUGGAUUUCAAUCCUCUCUUCCAACCUGCUGAGUUCUUCCUGAACAUAAGCUCUUUAUGUGAAAGAUAUCUAAAGACAGGUGAUCACUGGGGUAUUUUACUGAAAAACCACACCACUAUUUCCUGGUCUAAAAUGCACAGAUUACUGAAAAUAGCCCUUGAAUAAGUGGAGAAGUUUCCUCUCAGUGGUUCAGUUCACUUAAAUAGAGUCUCGCCCCAUCCCAGGUGUAGGGGCUGUUUCCUCUGUUUUAUGGAUGAGACACUAAGAUAGGGGAGUUAUGAGAGCUGGCUGUGGUCCCCAGUGAAAUGGUGGCAAAGCAGGUCUACAAUCUCCAUGUCCUGGCUGUUGCAUGGAAGGACCUUGUGUUAACCUGCAGUCCGCCUCUCUCACCAGGUCAUGGCCCGUCAUGAACAUCAAGUACUCAUGGAGCCCAGGCAUAUAGCUGGAGUUUCACCAAACAGUGAUGGCACUCACAGUGGGUUUAAGGCAUUUUAUGUCUUCAAGGAGUACACACAGUAGAGAGGAAGAGAAAAGUAUCCAAAUACCUAUACUACUGAGCAGAGCCCACUGAGCGUCCUGUGCAAGGGUUAAAUUGCAGGACUAUAAAAAAGCAUGAGAGCCAACAUUCCGUCACAUUCGGAGAGGAAAGAUCAAGUGGAUGGAAGCCCAGAAGUCUUAGAGGCAGGACUUGAGGGUAGAUCAGAUAUUUUUUAUAAAUAUAAUAACCAGAGUUUUUAAAACAUAAUAAUGAGACUUGUAUCAAAACAAGUCAUUCAUAAUCCCACUUCCCCACUGCAGUGGAGUAUCCAUUCCAGAUUGGUGCUUGCCCACCACCAGGAUUCAGACACAUUUGGGCAUGCCUAGAGAGCUAUGGGGCAGGCCACCAAGACCCUUUUGAGAGUACAUCAAGCAUAACACUUCGGAUCAAUACCAAAGCCAAGGUGGUAAGAAUGAGGAGUCUGUCAUAGUGUCUGUCCCUUGGAUUGAGUCCCAGCCAAGCCUUCCAUAAACACCUAUCUAAGCAGCAAAGAGCAGUUUCAUUAAAAUUACAUAUCCACAGCUUUAUAGAGAAUACAGAGACAGUGUCGUCACUGAGUGUGCCUGGUCGAGGACCUCAUUUUUCUCCAGCAGGGCAAGUGCUUUGUGUAUGAGCAUCUCCUAGCCUGACAGGUGUCUGAGGCUGGGGGGAUUCCAUGGGAGAGGCAACUUAUCUGUCAAGGGAUUCUUUUGGGGAGCUAUGGGAGAUUAUUCAUUCCCAGGAAUUUCUGAUGCCAGAAUCCUACAGUAACAAGCGGAAGUGAGAGAUACCUAAACGCUGGUUAGUUCUAUAAAAAGUAGCCACAUUUUUAACCCCCCCACAAGAGUAGCCCAAGGAAGCAUAGCUUAUAUAACUAUGUUCAUCUUUGCAUAUUCUAUUCCAGUCCUUAUUCACUUGCAUAUAUAACAAUCACAGUGCAUACUUUUCUAUAAUUUGCUUUUUCAAAUGUAUCACCAAAUUACAAAUUAGGGGUGGGGAGAUAUGGGAGAAGGCUUUCCACGCAGAUGAAACCAUAUGGCUCUUGAUUAGUGGUCCUCAACACAGGGAAAUUUUGUCUUCCAGGGUAACAUGAGGCAUUAGGCAGUGUCUGAAGACAUUUUUCAUUGUUAUGGCUGGGGAGGUGAUGCUAUGGGAAGAGGCCAGGGAUGCUGCUAAACAUUCUACUAUACACAGGAGAGUUCCCCCACCACAAAGAAUUAUCUAUCUCAAAACAUAAAGAAUGUUGAGGUUGAAAAACCCUGAUUUCUAGGUGCAGAGAUCAGAAAGUGCUUUGAAAGUUAGCAGAGUGGGGAUACACUGAAGCUACCUCAGUGGGUGUUCCUGGGAGGAAGUGAACAUAUAGGUAGGGACCUGGAGGACACCCAGACAAAGACCCUUCGAGGAAAGGGGAGAAGAAUGGUUAUAGAGACUAAGGAACAGCUAAUAAAAUCAGUGCCAUAGAGGGCAACAGUGCCAUGAGGCCUAAGGCCAGGAUGAGGCAGGUCCAAAGGUACAAGUUGGCACAGAUGAGGAAAGCUGGUGGAAUGAAACCUGUGCCCUCCACAGGGAGAGCUGGGAUUUCAACUAGGAUCUGUUGGCCCCCAGCCCAGGGCUCUUCCCAGUGGCUGUAUCACACUGCCUCAGGACCAUGCGGGUCCAUGAACGCCUCUUGUUGGACAUAAGCGGGCUGGCUGGAGCUGUACUAUCGCAGACACAGAAUGAUGAUUAACAGUUACCAGAACAGAAAGAGUCUGGUGUCAUACAGAAGCUUUCUUCUUUCUUCCAACAUGAGCUGAAAGCCCUCUGGGGGCCAUAGCAACGGCUUCUGCACAGAGUAUUUACAUUAAACAAAUAAAUACUGCUUACCUCUUCCUUGAGCAAAGCCCUUGGUGGUGCCUCCUCAGUGGGGAGCUGAGCUGGCCAAGGGGCUGCUGGAAACUUGAGCUCAUGAACUGCAGAAGGGAAAUAAACACCAGAAGGGAUGGAUGCUCUGCCUUCCUCAUGAAUCCAGACACGCAACUGUAAAUAAGCACAAGACAAUGUCUUUCCCUUUGAAGAAUGACAAUGAUGGACAGGCUGGACAAUACCCUGCCAUAGCAGGGAUGUGUUGAGUGAAGACGUAUAUGCUAUAAGUGGAAGGUAUAUGGUGGCAGGUAUGACCUUUUGGGAGAGUACCACCUAUCAAAAACACAAAGGCUCUUACCUUUUGCUCAGGAACCCAUCCUAGAGAAUGUUCACUGCAACUUAUAAAGUUAAAAACUUAGAGACAAACAAAAUGUUCAUCACUAGAGUGUGAUCUGACUGCACUAUAGUCUAUCUAUACUGUUGUACAUAGAUGUUAGGGAGAAUGAGGCAGGUCUCCAUGCUUGUUCAUAUGUGAAUAAGGGUCAGGAUUUAUAUUAAAGUGACAAGAGCAAGGUGAAGUUGUGAGACAACGUGUAUAGAUGAGUCAUUAGUUUCUUUUUUUUUUCUUUUAAAGAUUUUAUUUAUUUAUUCAUGAGAGACACACAAAGAGAGAGAGAGAGACAGAGACAGAGACACAGGCAGAGGGAGAAGCAGGCUCCACGCAGGGAGUCCAAUGUGGGACUCAAUUCCGGGUCUCCAGGAUCACGCCCAAAGGCUACACUAAACCGCUAAGCUACCCAGACAUCCCUACUCUUUUUUUCUUUUCUUUUCUUUCUUUUUUUUCUUUUUUUCUUUUCUUUUCUUUUCUUUUCUUUUCUUUUCUUUUCUUUUCUUUUCUUUUCUUUUCUUUUCUUUCUUUCUUUCUUUCUUUCUUU
rnacentral:lncRNA from 1 species